GAUGAACGCUGGCGGCGUGCCUAAUACAUGCAAGUCGAGCGAACAGACGAGGAGCUUGCUCCUCUGACGUUAGCGGCGGACGGGUGAGUAACACGUGGAUAACCUACCUAUAAGACUGGGAUAACUUCGUGAAACCGGAGCUAAUACCGGAUAAUAUAUUGAACCGCAUGGUUCAAUAGUGAAAGACGGUUUUGCUGUCACUUAUAGAUGGAUCCGCGCCGCAUUAGCUAGUUGGUAAGGUAACGGCUUACCAAGGCAACGAUGCGUAGCCGACCUGAGAGGGUGAUCGGCCACACUGGAACUGAGACACGGUCCAGACUCCUACGGGAGGCAGCAGUAGGGAAUAUUCCGCAAUGGGCGAAAGCCUGACGGAGCAACGCCGCGUGAGUGAUGAAGGUCUUCGGAUCGUAAAACUCUGUUAUUAGGGAAGAACAAAUGUGUAAGUAACUAUGCACGCCUUGACGGUACCUAAUCAGAAAGCCACGGCUAACUACGUG
rnacentral:rRNA from 1 species